rnacentral:lncRNA from 1 species
UCAUUUUGGCCGGAAAAUUUUGCUAGCCAUUAGCAUCUUCAUCAUGAGCAUGUUGAUCUCAGAGAAACAUGGACAGUAACAUCCCAUUUCGGUCUCCAGGCACCCUUUGAGAAACCUCAAAAUCAAGGUUUUGAACCAAGUUAGCAUGCAUGACAAUCGUCAUCCCCUUUGAAAUCUUCAUCAUUAUUACUCGUAAUACUGCAAAUUUUUACACUAACACAAUCACAUAUUUUCUCCAUCACUAUUAUCUACAUACACUUUAAAAUAAUGAGAAAAGAUAUGAAGACUUAUAGCCUCACAAAAAAUAUGGCCCUUAAUAUAGUAGAAUGACGGACUAAAAUUCAUGCCGCCGAUCCCAUUUAGUUGGUAAAAGACUUUGAC